rnacentral:rRNA from 1 species
GAUGAACGCUGGCGGCGUGCCUAAUACAUGCAAGUCGAGCGUACAGACGAGGAGCUUGCUCCUCUGACGUUAGCGGCGGACGGGUGAGUAACACGUGGAUAACCUACCUAUAAGACUGGGAUAACUUCGGGAAACCGGAGCUAAUACCGGAUAAUAUAUUGAACCGCAUGGUUCAAUAGUGAAAGACGGUUUUGCUGUCACUUAUAGAUGGAUCCGCGCCGCAUUAGCUAGUUGGUAAGGUAACGGCUUACCAAGGCAACGAUGCGUAGCCGACCUGAGAGGGUGAUCGGCCACACUGGAACUGAGACACGGUCCAGACUCCUACGGGAGGCAGCAGUAGGGAAUCUUCCGCAAUGGGCGAAAGCCCGACGGAGCAACGCCGCGUGAGUGAUGAAGGUCUUCGGAUCGUAAAACUCUGUUAUUAGGGAAGAACAAAUGUGUAAGUAACUAUGCACGUCUUGACGGUACCUAAUCAGAAAGCCACGGCUAACUACGUG